CAUCCUUUUGACAUGGCUUGUUACGUGAAGAGAUCCACGGUCUCCUUCGGGGAGCGCGCACACAGGUGCUGCAUGGCUGUCGUCAGCUCGUGUCGUGAGAUGUUGGGUUUAAGUCCCGCAACGAGCGCAACCCACGUCCUCAGUUGCCAUCAUUCAGUUGGGCACUCUGGGGAGACUGCCGGUGAUAAGCCGCGAGGAAGGUGUGGAUGACGUCAAGUCCUCAUGGCCCUUACGGGAUGGGCUACACACGUGCUACAAUGGCGGUGACAGUGGGACGCGAACCCGCGAGGGCAAGCAAAUCUCCAAAAGCCGUCUCAGUUCGGAUUGCACUCUGCAACUUGAGUGC
rnacentral:rRNA from 1 species